GCCGGGUGUGGUGGCGGGCACCUGUAAUCCCUGCCACUCGGGAGGCUGAGGCAGGAGAAUCACUUGAACCUGGGAGGCGGAGGUUGCAGUGAGCUGAGAUCGUGCCACUGCACUCCAGCCUGGGUGACAGAGUGAGAUUCUGUCUCAA
rnacentral:SRP_RNA from 1 species